rnacentral:rRNA from 1 species
UGGGGAAUUUUGGACAAUGGGCGCAAGCCUGAUCCAGCCAUGCCGCGUGCGGGAAGAAGGCCUUCGGGUUGUAAACCGCUUUUGUCAGGGAAGAAAUCUUCUGAGUUAAUACCUCGGGAGGAUGACGGUACCUGAAGAAUAAGCACCGGCUAACUACGUGCCAGCAGCCGCGGUAAUACGUAGGGUGCAAGCGUUAAUCGGAAUUACUGGGCGUAAAGCGUGCGCAGGCGGUUUUGUAAGACAGAGGUGAAAUCCCCGGGCUCAACCUGGGAACUGCCUUUGUGACUGCAAGGCUUGAGUGCGGCAGAGGGGGAUGGAAUUCCGCGUGUAGCAGUGAAAUGCGUAGAUAUGCGGAGGAACACCGAUGGCGAAGGCAAUCCCCUGGGCCUGCACUGACGCUCAUGCACGAAAGCGUGGGGAGCAAACAGGAUUAGAUAGCCCUGGUAGUCCACGCCCUAAAACGAUGUCAACUGGUUGUUGGGAAGGUUCCUUCUCAGUAACGUAGCUAACGCGUGAAGUUGACCGCCUGGGGAGUACGGCCGCAAGGUUG